rnacentral:lncRNA from 1 species
AGUGGAAAGUGUACCAGGCUGGUGUCCAGGUGGCAUUUGGCCAGAGGGGCUGAGCUGGGAGCUCCUGGGCCUGGGGCUGGCAGAUAGUGGUGAUUUUUCGCCCCCCAAGACCUUGGGCUUGCCUUGUUCCAUGAAGGUCCCAAAUCUGACCAAAGGCUGUAACCAGAUGGUCACUGUCCCAGACCACCCCAGGGCGCUUUCUCACCUCGAGAGCACCGUUUCUCCCCACCUCCACCCUGGCCGCCCUUGCUGUCACCUACUCCCUCUGGUCCCUGGCACCCCUCCCUGCCUGCAGUGGUGUUUCCUAGCAAGUGCAGCAGCCCGAGGCUGGGCUAGAGGCAGGAGGGCCUGGCCUCCCAGUGUCUUGCUGGAUACUUGGUUUCUUGCCCCUCCGUUUCCACACCUGUAAAAUGGGAGCAAUGACAGGUCUUCCUGGCAGGACAGUGGUGAAGCUUGGUCACACGGGUGAACAUGUGUGAGGUAAAAAAGACUUCCCAUCCCUCCUUCUGACCUGGACCGGCUCGCAGGACCCAUAGGCAGGGACCUGGGCAAGGUCCGAGGGCCGAUGAGCCCCGUCCUCUCUGCACAGUUCAGAGUUGGGUGGGAGUGGCUGUGGGCUGCAGGAGGAGGUACUGCACUUCGCACAGUUACGUGGUCGGGUUGGCAUCGCCGCCGCCUGACUUCGGCGCCCCGCGAGUUGGGUGUGUGCGGUUGGGGGCGGCCCAGAGUGUGCCCCACGCCUGCCAGUCGGGUAGGCCAGCCUCCCUGGAGAGAGGGGGGCCUCCCCAAGGUGGACGGGUGCUUCCUUCCACCCAGGAGCCUGAGCAGAGGGUGGAGGGUCCUGGCAGCUACCUACGGCAGCUGAGAGCUGCGCUCUUUAGCCGAGCGGGAUCAGGGCUACGUGGACACAGCCCGUGCCAGUGUGGGUGGGGCACGAGCUGUGGGUUCCGAUGGCCCAGUAGGCGUUCACCUGGCAGAGAGUGUGCGCGUGUCUCCCCUCCUUGGGGCGCCUCAGGUCAGGACCCUGAGAACCUCACUUAUCCUUUGAGCUGCGCCAAGGCUGUUGUACAAAAGACAGUUCAGAAAAUAAGGACAGGCUGUUCCUCCCAGCCAAGGGUGUGGCCCUAAGGACCCCUAGGUGGGGCAUCGCUUCCCGCCAGGCACGUGCCACUCAGUCUUGGGCUGCUUUAGUGGCAGCCUCCUGGUUUGGAAGCGGAACUGAGGGUCAGGGAUGACCACAUGGCUCAGGGCUCAGCUGGGGUCCUGAGAGUGGGCCCUCAGGUUUACCUUCCUCCUGGAGGGGAACUGGGGGCCAUUGCCCAGUGCACCCCCACUUCCCCUUAGGUGCGUGGGCCACCCCUCAACCGGCCCCAUUAUCUGGGCUGUGGGUGCCAUUGGUCAGGACCGUGAUGGACUCAUACGUAAAACUUGAUGCAUUUUAACUCCCUUCAUCCUAGAGGAUUGAGACCUCUGGCGGGUAAGUGUUCAUAUUACCGUCCUGCCCUAGAGCCAGGGAAGGACCCUAGGGGAGAAG